GCCGCUGUGGCUCAGGUGGUAGAGCGGCUUGUCCACUAAUCAUGGGGUUGGCGGUUCGAUUCUUGGCCCACGUGACU